rnacentral:pre_miRNA from 1 species
UAUUAAAAGUUUCAUCCAUUUCUACUGUUAAAAGCUAGCAUGACUAACAGAAUAAUUAGACAGGCGUGCCAUGUGUACCUCAUUCUGAUGUACAGGGACCAGUUUUUAAUAGUAGAAAUUGAUGAAAUUUUUAACA